GACGAAUGCUGGCGGUAUGCUUAACACAUGCAAGUCGUACGAGGUUUAUUCAUCGUUAGCUCUCGGGCUAACCGGAUAGACUGCAGUGGCGGACGGGUGCGUAACGCGUAAGAACUUACCUUUUGGUGGGGGAUAACAAUGGGAAACUGUUGCUAAUACCCCAUAAUGCUGAGGAGCUAAAAGUGAAAACUGCCAAGAGAGAGGCUUGCGUCUGAUUAGCUAGUUGGUGGGGGUAAAGGCCUCCCAAGGCGACGAUCAGUAGCUGGUCUGAGAGGAUGAUCAGCCACACUGGGACUGAGACACGGCCCAGACUCCUACGGGAGGCAGCAGUGAGGAAUUUUCCGCAAUGGGCGAAAGCCUGACGGAGCAAUACCGCGUGAAGGAAGAAGGCCCGUGGGUCGUAAACUUCUUUCUCAAGGAAGAAAAAAUAGACGGUACUUGAGGAAUAAGCACCGGCUAACUCUGUG
rnacentral:rRNA from 1 species